GGGGAGUGCAGUGUAAUUGCUGCUUGGAGAGGUUGCAGGAAUCAUUCAGCCUUUGGUUUUGACGCUGCAGCAGGAGCCAGAGGGAGGAGAACUGGGAUGAAGAGGACUUCUUUCUCCCUUUCCUCCUAUUCCAGUUCUUCCCAAGCGUUGAUUCUCUCUGGUACGCUGGAUCUGAGCAGAACCCAGCACUCAGUGAUGGAAGGACCUCUGGGUUAAAUCCCAGGAUAGGGAGAGGAGAGGAGCUGGAGACAACCUACCUUGGUUUGAGACCUGUUUCUGCCACCUCCUGGCUGUGUCCACUUGGGAGGCUCUUCUCCAAGUGAUAAUUCAGAGACCAGACUCUGUUCUGCUGUCUUCAACAGUUGGCUUCUGCAUUCACCACGGAAGGAGAAAGAGCAUGAAGAAUGGCAUGUGGGAGACCAAGGGAGGGACCAAGCCUGGAGGAGUGUUACAUCAUUUAUACCCAGAUUCCAUUGGCUAGAACUCAGUCCAUGGCCACACUGAACAGGAAAGAUGGCUGGCAAACGUGAUCUAGCUGUGUGUCCUGGAAGAGCUACUAGGUUUUGUAGUCGGCCAGCAAUCUCUGAAAAAAUAUGUUUCUUGGAUUAAGCCUCAUCCUCCCUGGCCUGAUUCCUUUCCAACAAGGGUAGCUUUUGAAUCUUCCCACCCUCUAGUCACUCCCCUCUUCUUAUGCAUUGAUUUGUUAGUGUUCCUCUGAAAAUGCAUGGCAUUCAGGAGUAGUCUGAGCUGGGUAGACGUGGAGGGUGAGGCUGCUAGCUCUUAGGCUCUUUACUCUCGGCCCUCAGGACCUAGGAGGGGUGUCAGGGGUCCCUUUCCUUUCCAUUUCUUCUCCCUCUCUGCCUGCUCAGAGAGGUUUCAUGGGCCCUUGUCCUGAAAGAGACAUCUCCCUUUCCACCCCCACCCCCACCACUCACACAUAUUUAGAGAUGAUAAAUGGCACUGCUUAUAGCAUGGGCUUCAGCAUCUGAUAGACCUGGGUUGGAGUUCUGCCCCCUCCCCUUUCUUACUAGCUGUAUGCUGCUGCUGCUGCUAAGUCGCUUCAGUCGUGUCCGUGACCCCAUAGACGGCAGCCCACCAGGCUCCACCAUCCUUGGGAUUCUCCAGGCAAGAACACUCGAGUGGGUUGCCAUUUCCUUCUCCAAUGCAUGAAAGUGAAAAGUGAAAGUGAAGUCCCUCAGUCGUGUCCGACUCUUUGCGACCCCAUAGACUGCAGCCUACCAGGCUCCUCCGUCCAUGGGAUUUUCCAGGCACGAGUACUGGAGUGGGUUGCCAUUGCCUUUUCUGACUAGCUGUAUGACUUUGAGCAAAUAUCUUAAAACUCUUUAAACUGCAAUUUCCUGCUCUGUAAAAUGGAGGUGAGGAUGAUGAUAAUGAUAAUGAUGGUGAUGGUGGUGAUACAGGAUUUCUGUGAUGAGUCAGUGAAAUAAUUGACUUAAAAUGCUAGCACAGAGCCCGGCACAUGGUCGAGGGCUCAGUAAGUAGGGGCUAAUAAUGAUGACAAUAGUUAACAACUUUCUCCUCUAGUCAAACAGACCUUUUCAAAUAGUUCUUAUUUCCUUCUGUUAUAUGUUCUCAGUUUUCCAUCAGCUGUGCUAUUCUUACCUCUCCUCUGUCAACCCAGAUCUUCUCCUUAGAUUUCUUCUUCUCAGCUUCUCCUUAGAUGUCUAACUUUCUACCUUCCUAACUCAAAACUACACAGCUGCUAUACCUUGUCUUUAUUGAGAAAUGAACGACAAGAGUAGAUACUGAAGAGUUAGAGAAAAUAUAUGGUGUAGGCUUUGCCCAAACCCCUUUCUCCUCUCACCUAGAAGCUACUGAAAAUGUUUUAUUCAUGAUACUGAGCCCGGGCUUCCCAAUCCUUCUCUGUUGCAAACUCAAGACUCCCUCUGUUUGCUGAGAGAGCAGCCAGCACAGACAAUUUUAUGGUCUGACAGGCUGUUUGCAGAGUAUAUUUGGUAAGUCAUUUUCUGUUUUCCAAAACUAAUUAGAGAUGGAUAAAUUUAAAUGGUGGUAGAAGCCAACAAUAAAACAUCAUGUCCUCAUUAGCUGAAAUAAUCCUGUGGCUUCCCUUCUUAUAUGAAGGAUCUUGACUCAGAAAAAUUCGGUUCAGGCUGAGUGGUGUGCUGGAGCUGGUGCCUGCUUGCAUGAGCCAAUUGCAUGCAUCCCUUCCCAGCUCCACGUUCAGUGACAUUGCCUCUGUGCCUUGGAAUUGGCUCUGGUGGGAGUACUGAAAAUGGGAAAUUGGCAAGUGCUACAAAUCAGGUCUCCACCCCAAGCUUGUUAAACAGGUACCCACACCCCACUGCUCCUGCUGUCAUGCAGGGAGCAGGUCCAGCUCUCUUUGAGGCUUGCACAUAUAAACCAUGAAGUGCCACGCAUUGUUUUGAUUCAUAAAGUGCCUUUGGAAAUAGUUUUUCUCCUCUUGGGCCCCAAGGCUUCUGUGAGUGUCUGAUAGAGGACUUUGCUUUGGUGAAAGAGAUUGGACACUGGAAGCAGAGGCUGGGGAUGGUGGUUUCCCUAGCAACCAGGUCAGGGAGUGGGACUGGAGAGGCAUUUUUUAGAGACACACUUCUCCCAUUGUAACGUGCAGGUGAAUCACCCGGGCAUCUUGUUAAAAUGCAGAUUCUGAUUCAGUGGGUCUCAGCUAGUCCUGAUAUGUGUCAUUUCUAAUAAGCUCCCAGGUGGUGUCAGCGAUGCCAUGCACCAUUCCAUGAGUAACAGUGUUGACCCUGGACAGAGAAACCUAAAACUUUGCAAAAACUCACUGUAUGUUAAGUCCACCAAAAGCCAAGGACUAUCGCUUCUGCUCCAGCCUCAGACUUGCCAGUUUAGAGGGAGAGAUGGUGUUUUAACUGUAGAAGCACCAGUGCAGAAUUAAGCAGAGCUGGGUUAAAUCAUCUCUACCAAAUAAUAUGACUUCAUCCAAUUACUAACCUUUCCCGAGUCUCAGUUUCCCAAGCUGUAAAAUGGGGCUAGGACUGCAUGGGGUGGUUAUGAGACUUCAGGGAGAGAAAGCAGGAAAGGGUUUACUGCAGGCUCUGCACUACUGCCCCUGGCUUCCCUAUUUGUUUCCAGCCUAAGAUCAAACAACUUUCUUUGGCAAAACCCCACCUUUUUAGCCUAAACUGUAAUUUUUUAAAAUAUAAGAAUUAAUAAUUACUGUUGCAUAAUUACAAUUUUUAAUUAUAAAAAAGACAGUAAAGAUAUCAUGUUCCCCCUACCUAGUGAUCACACAGUUAAUAUUUUGGUAUAUUUCCUGCCAGGCUUUUUAUAUAUUUUUUUAUUUUACAACAAAAAUGAGAUGAUAUUCAACACAUUGUUUUCUAACUUAUUUUUUUUAAUUUAUAAAAAGUUUUUAUUUUAUAUUGGAGUCUAGUUGAUUAACAACCUGCUUUUUAGUUUAAAAAUAUACCUUUGGUAGGUUUUCAUGUCUGUAGGCAGAAAAAAAAUUGAAAUUGCUCAAUCGUGUGCAACUUUGUGCAACCCCAAGGACUGCAGCCCACCAGGCUCCUCUGUCCAUGGAAUUCUCUAGGCAGGAAUACUGGAGUGGGUUGCCAUUUCCUUCUCCAGGGGCUCUUCCUGGGGAUCUAUAGGCAGAGAUCACUAUUAUAAUUUUAAUGGCUAUACACUGAACAGUCUUCUAAGGACUGGUGACAAAAUCUGCCUAUUGGAUUCAGUUCACUUUUCAGAAGGAACAUGCCAGGCUGUGGGAGCAGCAUUCUGGAGUCUUCGUUUUGGUCUCUGCUGGAGUCUGGAUCUCUUAACACCUCCACAUGACCUAGCAUGAAGAAGGUCAAAAGUCACAAUGUUCUGGACUUCAGGGAACCCCAGCUAAAUGCAGAGGGACAGUAGGAGCUCCUCUCAAGGAGAACCCCAAAUCAGUUCUUAUCCAAGGACAAAUCUGAGACUAGGGAAUAACCAAGGAAUCUGUAGUGAUGGAGCUGCAGAUCAAGUCACAGAAUGAAAAAUAUUGAGUGAAGGAAGUGCCCCAGGACUCAAGAGAUAAUGAAUUC
ensembl:lncRNA